rnacentral:tRNA from 1 species
GUAGUCUCAUGCUAGUCUCGGGAUUCAAUCUCAAAAUCCCCCGCCGCAAGGCGUGCCGGUUCGAUUCCGGCCCCGGGCACCA